CCGCGGGAUUAGAGUUUGAUCCUGGCUCAGAAUGNACGUUGGCGGCGUGGAUUAGGCAUGCAAGUCGAGCGGCAGCAGGCCCGCAAGGGCGCUGGCGAGCGGCGAAAGGGAGAGUAACGCGCGGGUACCUACCCUCGGGACCGGGAUAGNUGCGGGAAACUNCAAUUAAUACCGGAUAACGUCCCAGGACCAAAUGGUGUGAUUCCGCCUGAGGAGGGGCCCACGUCCUAUCAGCUUGUUGGUGUGGUAACGGCGCACCAAGGCUACGACGGGUACGGGGUGUGAGAGCAUGCCCCCGCUCACUGGGACUGAGACACUGCCCAGACACCUACGGGUGGCUGCAGUCGAGAAUCUUCCGCAAUGGGCGAAAGCUUGACCGAGCGACGCCGCGUGCGGGAUGAAGGCCUACGGGUUGUAAACCGCUGUCGGAGGGGAUGAA
rnacentral:rRNA from 1 species